CCCUUGGCCUUCUGAAAGACACAUUCUGAGUAUCACUGAAUACAAGUAGGUUUCUCCUCCUCCCUAUUGCCCUUUAAGCACACAUCUUUCUGAUGCUGUUUCAGGGCAGUCUUCCUGCCUUCUUAAGAGGUCUGAGGAGACUGCUUCCUUGAGCAAAGGCAUGUCAGCUUCCUGUGGAAUGUGAUCCUCAGAGCCAAGGGACAGUGAAUCAGGCAGGAGCUGAGGCUGGAGGACAAGGAAGCCAGGAGCUGAGGGUGACCAAAACACAAGCCAGGCAAACACCUCUCCAACAGAGCACAGCCUGACCCUCACCAGAGAAAAGCAAGCAAGAGCAGAGGCAGCAACAGGUCCAGCAGUCCCGCGACCAUCAGGCAAACACAAGGAUGCUACCAACAAAAGUUGCUUUAUUGCUUCUAUGGAUGAAGACACAUUUUCAAUAUGGACAAAGAUCUCUACCCAGAAGAAUUAACCACAUGGUUCUCCUGCAUGACACACAUGAAGUCCUCUGCUUGGUCACCUGGUUCUUUUUCUCAGAUGUCAAAUGCACACA